UGGGGAAUUUUGCGCAAUGGGGGAAAGCCUGACGCAGCGACGCCGCGUGGAGGAUGAAGGUCUUCGGAUUGUAAACUCCUUUUGCAGGGGAAGAUAAUGACGGUACCCUGCGAAUAAGCCCCGGCUAACUCUGUG
rnacentral:rRNA from 1 species